UUUAGUUUUUCUGCUUCAAGAUUAUUCUGUUAAAAAAAUUAUUCAUUUAGAAUACAGCCUGUCCCCGUGGAUCCACAGAUCAAACUAAUUUCUACAAUGGAAAACACAAUAAAAGAUGGUGAGAGGAUGCUAAUUUACAACAUGCUACCUCUGCUAUAUAGAAUUAUAGGACCAGAUUUUCAUCAUGAAAACUCUCUAAGAGUCUUGCUGUAUCACCCAAACUUAAAGUGCAGUGGUACAAUCUCGGCUCACUGCAACCUCCACCUCCUGGGUUCCAGCAAUUCUCCUGCCUCAGCCUCUCAGGUAACUGGAAUUACAGGCACACACAACCAUGC
rnacentral:lncRNA from 1 species